UUUACUCUUACGGAGGCAGCAGUGGGGAAUAUUGCACAAUGGGCGAAAGCCUGAUGCAGCGACGCCGCGUGAGGGAUGACGGCCUUCGGGUUGUAAACCUCUUUCAGUAGGGAAGAAGCGAAAGUGACGGUACCUGCAGAAGAAGCGCCGGCUAACUACGUGCCAGCAGCCGCGGUAAUACGUAGGGCGCAAGCGUUAUCCGGAUUUAUUGGGCGUAAAGAGCUCGUAGGCGGUUUGUCGCGUCUGCCGUGAAAGUCCGAGGCUCAACCUCGGAUCUGCGGUGGGUACGGGCAGACUAGAGUGAUGUAGGGGAGACUGGAAUUCCUGGUGUAGCGGUGAAAUGCGCAGAUAUCAGGAGGAACACCGAUGGCGAAGGCAGGUCUCUGGGCAUUUACUGACGCUGAGGAGCGAAAGCAUGGGGAGCGAACAGGAUUAGAUACCCUGGUAGUCCAUGCCGUAAACGUUGGGCACUAGGUGUGGGGAACAUUCCACGUUUUCCGCGCCGUAGCUAACGCAUUAAGUGCCCCGCCUGGGGAGUACGGCCGCAAGGCUAAAACUCAAAGGAAUUGACGGGGGCCCGCACAAGCGGCGGAGCAUGCGGAUUAGAUUCGAUGCAACGCGAAGAACCUUACCAAGGCUUGACAUGUGCCAGACCGCUUCAGAGAUGGAGUGGCCUU
rnacentral:rRNA from 1 species